CGGCCGCGUCGACAUGGCCUACCAAGGCGGUGACGGGUAGCCGGCCUGAGAGGGUGGACGGUCACACUGGGACUGAGACACGGCCCAGACUCCUACGGGAGGCAGCAGUAGGGAAUCUUCCACAAUGGACGAAAGUCUGAUGGAGCAACGCCGCGUGAGCGAUGAAGGCCUUCGGGUCGUAAGCUCUGUUGUUAGGGAAGAACAAGUGCG
rnacentral:rRNA from 1 species